UGAUGUUUAAAGAAUCAUGGCCCUU
rnacentral:piRNA from 1 species